rnacentral:rRNA from 1 species
GAUUAACGCUGGCGGCGUGCCUAACACAUGCAAGUCGAGCGGCAGCGAGUUUUACACUGAAUUCUGGAAGCUUCUAGUUGAAAGAGAAGAUUUAUUCAAGAAUUUUGUGUAAAAUGUCGGCGAGCGGCGGACGGCUGAGUAACGCGUGGGAACGUACCCCAAAGUGAGGGAUAACGCAUCGAAAGGUGUGCUAAUACCGCAUAUGGUCUUCGGAUUAAAGCCUUCGGGCGCUUUGGGAACGGCCUGCGUAAGAUUAGAUAGUUGGUGGGGUAAUGGCCUACCAAGUCGACGAUCUUUAACUGGUUUGAGAGGAUGAUCAGUCAGACUGGAACUGAGACACGGUCCAGACUCCUACGGGAGGCAGCAGUGAGGAAUCUUCCACAAUGGGCGAAAGCCUGAUGGAGCAACGCCGCGUGCAGGAUGAAGGCCUUCGGGUUGUAAACUGCUUUUAUAAGUGAGGAUUAUGACAGUAACUUAUGAUUAAGGAUCGGCUAACUACGUG